UUCCUCCCUCCUCUCUCCCCCAUCGGUCUUUCCCUCUCCCACCGGAUGCGGCGGACAAGGCAGCGACGUCGGCCGCGCCGGCGGCGGCCGGCCUCCUCGUCCUCUUCUGUGCCGCCUCCCUCACCUGCCUGUCAACUCUGUUUCUCCCUCUCCUCCCCCCCCUCUCUCUCUCCUUCCCUCUCGAGGCGGCGACGUGUGCCAGGUGACGGUGCCUUUGCGGGCGGUACGCCGGCGUAGGAGGGCCUCGGCUGCCCCCUCCCUAUCCUCCAUCCUCCACGUGGGCUCCUCAAUGCCUCCUCUCGCUGGGGAGCUUGUGCUCCUCUACUCGACGAAACCCUAGGUGCUGUGCGGCGGCGGCGGCCCUCUUCGUUGCAGGCUGGAUCUGAUGGUGACUCUCCCUCUUCUUCUCGUCCUUCGUUCGAUUAUGUGUUUUGACCAAGUAAUUUCUAUCAGUACAAAUUGAGUAGCUGCUUCUUCAAGGCCAAGCCUACAAUUACAUUACUAGCUCAUAAAUUCUUGAUUCUGUUACUUAGCUAUUCUACUUUGGCGUCCAUCGUGCCUUGUGUCUUCCAAAUGUUGGUCCCAAGGUAUGCAUGCUCUAAUGUUAUGUCAUGGUUAAUAAGUUCCUGUGACCUCGAAUUUCAGUUAGUCAAGAUUUCUGAGCCAAAAUGCAGUGACGUUGGUUAUGUCACAUUCAUAGUGCUUAGCUUAUAUGUAUCGUCACGAGCAGCAACUCAACAAAACUGAAAUUAAGCUGAUAUGCAUUUUAUUGUUGCCCAGUUCGUAGCUGAAACUUGCUACAACCUUCUUCCAUCUUUGUUUGUGGUCAUAUAUUUUAGUGGUUUUGUCUUGAUCCUAUCCUCUGUUCCCUAACUUCCCUUCGGUCUCCAAACUACUGGCCUGCUUCUUAAUAAUGACAAAAUUCAUCGAACUUUUUUCCCCUAUUUUUAGAAUUAGAGUUUCGUUUCAAGCAAGAGAUAAAAUAUUCAUUUACUAUGCCUUUGCAUGAUAAUUGAUUUUUUUGGUCCUAUGGACAGUACUAAAAGACAUGGAUGUUCAGUACACUAAUUUGCAUAAUUUCUUCGCCAGGUAAAACUAUUUUUCGUCAGCAGCUCGUUUGUUUUAGCUUUUGCCUGUAUUAGUUAGUCCUCAUGUAUAACAGUCCAUACCUACUUUCAUUUUAGUACAAUGGUUUCGUGAUAUCAAAAUAGUUUCCUUACAAUCAAUCUAUGCUGCUGAAAGAUAUGUAUCGACCAUUGCUUGUGUUGCUCUAUUUCAUUUCCAGCAGAAAAAAGGUCAGGUUGCUGCACAUAAUGAAUUGGUUCCCUCUUCAUCAUUUGUUAUAUUGUAAUGUAACCCUCCCUGCCAAGUUGCCACAAAUAUUUGACCAACACAUGCACACAUGUUACUGUCUGCGCUUUCUAGCAUGUGCAAUCAAUCCCUAAAAAUUAUAGCAACAUACCACUUACCAGUAAUGUGGUGUCAAAGUGGGGGUCUUUGUUUUUUCAGUUAGCGUAUGCUUUCCCCAAUUCUAAAGGAGCUUUAGUCUUCCGGCAUAUGUACUAGAACAAGUUAACAAAUCCAUUUUUAAUUACACAUGGUUAUUGCCAUUCUUCGGAUCACACUAUGGAGAAUAAGUUUUCCGGCUCGAAGACGCAAACAAUGCAAUUAGGUGGAUAUUAUAUGGUCUGCACCUCUUUCUUUGCCUAAUUUCAUAAUGCCGAAAUUAAUAUAUGAGACUUCAAAAUGAAUAGUUGACAUUCUGCAAGAUGCACCCUGUCCAAAUAUAGUGGGUUGUAAUCUCUUCCUAAUUUUAUCUGACUAAUUUUUCAUGUGCUCUGCCUAAUUUAUGUGAUUGUUUUUUAUAUGUGCACAGUUUGUCCUAAAUCUACUUCCUUUGCAAAAGAAUAGGGAUGCAGGUAUAUACGUAUGUAUGUUUAGCCUUCGUAGAAUAUAUCCACUUAUUCCUGAAUGUUAAGUAGCUAUUUCACUUAUUUGGGGAUUUUUAUACUUUACACAAUACUAUGAUAAUCUGAUAGUUGCUGCAAUUAGUUGGUUCACAGCCUUUUGAAACAAAAUUCUCUCAAAGUCUGCUACUUUUUUUAUCACUUUUGCCUGACCCUCCUCCCUUUAAAAUGUGAUGUUGGAUGAAAACGGUGCAGACUAAAAGGUGUCCGUGGAGAAAACUAUAUCAUGAACAGCAAUCACAACGUGAUUCCUUCACAGGUUGAAGUGGAGGCCUAUCUUGCUCAAACAACUGAAGAUGGGCAAGAUCCAAAGACACUAGUUGAAGCUAUAGCUCAUGUUCUGCCCAAAUCAACUUUCCUUCUCAAUGUUGGCAUGGAGUCCAAAUAGAUGAAGAAAGAUGCUAAAACUGCUGCGAUGAACAAGCGUGUGCAAGAACUGAUGUUCUGGAUGUAGCUGAUGUUCUGAAGACAUUUGAGAUUUUUGAUGGAGCCUAUGUUCUGCAGAUAUUUGAGAUUCUGGAUGUGUAACCUAUGUUCUGCAUUCAUUUGUGCUUUUGGUGUUGUAUUGUAGUUUGAGACCUGUAUAAAAUGCCUGUGAUAUUUUAAUUAAUUGUGGAGAUUGCUUAUUUGAUUCUAGUUGUGUGGGCUGAAUAUAUUUGUGGGUUGGAUGUUGUAUGGGCCAA